rnacentral:tRNA from 1 species
GUUUUUAUAGUGUAAGAAACAUGUUACAUUUUCGUUGUAAAGCUGAAACACAGUUUCUAAAAACU